rnacentral:rRNA from 1 species
UAGGGAAUCUUCCGCAAUGGACGCAAGUCUGACGGAGCAACGCCGCGUGAGUGAAGAAGGAUUUCGGUUCGUAAAACUCUGUUGUUAGAGAAGAACAGCGCAUAGAGUAACUGUUAUGCGUGUGACGGUAUCUAACCAGAAAGCCACGGCUAACUACGUGCCAGCAGCCGCGGUAAUACGUAGGUGGCAAGCGUUGUCCGGAAUCACUGGGCGUAAAGGGCGCGCAGGCGGUCUGUUAAGUCAGAUGUGAAAGGUUAGGGCUCAACCCUGAACGUGCAUCUGAUACUGGCAGACUUGAGUAUGGAAGAGGUAAGUGGAAUUCCUAGUGUAGCGGUGAAAUGCGUAGAUAUUAGGAGGAACACCAGUGGCGAAGGCGACUUACUGGGCCAUAACUGACGCUGAGGCGCGAAAGCGUGGGGAGCAAACAGG